UGUGGCAAACGAAGAGAAAAUACAAUUGAAUUGUCAAUUAUUUGGCAUUUCUUUCUUCAGAUAUUGGGAUAAACGAUCACUUUUUAUUGAUUCACGUAAUGAUAAACCAGUUAAUGACAGUGGUUUUGUCGACACAUUUUUAACAUUAUUAUUUAAGACAAUUGCCGGAAUUAUUGGUCUAUUUAUAGCUAAUAUACUUUUAGUUAUAUGCAUUGUUAUAGGAUCAUCCCAUAUAAACGACUGUCC